ACUCGCUCACCGGUUAGUGUAACGAGGCAGUGAAAUUAUAUGGUUGGAUGGGGUUUCUACAUUCUCGUUCUGCAUCUGCCGCCACGUUUCCUGAUACAACUUUAGAAUCAGAAUGACUAGUUUUUAGUAGCGAAUCCGGAACCCUAAAAAAAAAAAAUAAAAGGGAAAAAGCCAUAAGAAUUAAAUUGAUAAUUGGUGGAAAAAGAAAAACCCGCUUUGAGGCUUGAGAGGGUAAGGAAGAGGAAGAGGAAGAGGUUUAUAGAAGAAGAAGAUGAGUAGCAAUUGGAGGAGAUCGUUGGGGAAUGUGAGGUCGUUCAUUGGGAAUUGCAUGGGAGGUCUAAGAGGAGGAAGCAACCUCGCCUCCUGGGUGGUGGCGGGAAGCCUUGCCUACUUCCUCUGGGUCAAGCCCUCUCAGGACCUCCAGCGACAGCAACAGGAAAGGGCUGCUCUUGCAGCUUCAGAUCCUAAUCGGUACAUCGAGAGACGAAAGCCCAUUCCUGAUCCUCAGGAAACUGGGUUAAUUUACGGAAAGAAGAAUUUAGAUCGUAAGCCCGACGAUUGAACGUUCCUGCUAGACUUUGCAGAAGUAAAAUUUGAGUCACGUCUUGUAAUUAUCAGAAAGCUAGGCACGGACACAAAAAGAAAGAGCCCUGAUCUAAAGCGGACUUUAAACCAAUCUGUUUUGCUGAUCUAGGAUUCCAACAAAGAGACUAUUUUGAGUUGGUGAAGCGCUGCCUAAUUUGGAGUCCAUGUAGACCAGCCGCUGAAUCCUGUGAACUUGAUAUUUGCCGAACAACCAUCCUUGUUGUUCACCGGAGAUGUGGAUAAAACUCCAUUGUAAUUUGGAUAGCCUCUUGUGAUUGUGAGAGCUACAUUAAUUCUCUUCACAAAUGCAAACGAUAGGAAUAGGAGACUUCUCUUAUCCAACAUUCGUUAUUCAUAAAAUGAUAAUGGAUCUUGUGUAAUUUUUUUUAUUUUUUAUUUUAUUUUUUAAUAAAAGAGGAGUAUAAAAAGGAAACAGUUUUAUUGGGCUCAA